GAUGAACGCUGGCGGCGUGCCUAAUACAUGCAAGUCGAGCGAACAGAUGAGGAGCUUGCUCCUCUGACGUUAGCGGCGGACGGGUGAGUAACACGUGGAUAACCUACCUAUAAGACUGGGAUAACUUCGGGAAACCGGAGCUAAUACCGGAUAAUAUAUUGAACCGCAUGGUUCAAUAGUGAAAGACGGUUUUGCUGUCACUUAUAGAUGGAUCCGCGCCGCAUUAGCUAGUUGGUAAGGUAACGGCUUACCAAGGCAACGAUGCGUAGCCGACCUGAGAGGAUGAUCGGCCACACUGGAACUGAGACACGGUCCAGACUCCUAAGGGAGGCAGCAGUAGGGAAUAUUCCGCAAUGGGCGAAAGCCUGACGGAGCAACGCCGCGUGAGUGAAGAAGGUCUUCGGAUCGUAAAACUCUGUUAUUAGGGAAGAAAAGAUGUGUAAGUAACUAUGCACGUCUUGACGGUACCUAAUCAGAAAGCAACGGCUAACUACGUG
rnacentral:rRNA from 1 species